AGUGAACGCUGGCGAUAGGCCUAACACAUGCAAGUCGAACGGCAGCACAGUAAGAGCUUGCUCUUACGGGUGGCGAGUGGCGGACGGGUGAGGAAUACAUCGGAAUCUACUUUUUCGUGGGGGAUAACGUAGGGAAACUUACGCUAAUACCGCAUACGACCUACGGGUGAAAGCAGGGGAUCUUCGGUCCUUGCGCGAUUGAAUGAGCCGAUGUCGGAUUAGCUAGUUGGCGGGGUAAAGGCCCACCAAGGCGACGAUCCGUAGCUGGUCUGAGAGGAUGAUCAGCCACACUGGAACUGAGACACGGUCCAGACUCCUACGGGAGGCAGCAGUGGGGAAUAUUGGACAAUGGGCGCAAGCCUGAUCCAGCCAUACCGCGUGGGUGAAGAAGGCCUUCGGGUUGUAAAGCCCUUUUGUUGGGAAAGAAAAGCAGCAGGUUAAUACCCCGCUGUUCUGACGGUACCCAAAGAAUAAGCACCGGCUAACUUCGUG
rnacentral:rRNA from 1 species